rnacentral:lncRNA from 1 species
UUGUAGAAACGGGGUUUCAUCAUGUUGGCCAGCUAGCCUCGAACUCUUGAGCUCAAAUGAUCCACCCGCCUUGGCCUCCCAAAGUGCUGGGAAUACAGGCCACAAGAAGUACACUUUUUAAAGUUUCAAGAUACAUGCAUAUUUUGUGAUAGGGUGAUCAAUAAAAGACUUAGAGACAUAAAAAUAUAUUAUAUUAGAACAAAAUUAUGUAGGGAAAGUGGCAUGAAAAUUGGAGUUCAAAUAAGAAAAGGAUCAAGGUAAAAGUUAUGAUUUUUAAAGCAGAGCCCGUUCAUUGCCUUUUUAGAUGAAGGGUGAUGGGCACUAACCUGCCGCAGCACCUGGAUGCAAUUGGAUACAUCUAAAUGAGUGAUGUGGCUAUUACAAUUUCAAAUAGGAAUACACGUAAUACAUUUUAAAUUACACUCUUCGAAACUACUUACACUUAUGAUUAAAAGUUGCAGUCUCAAUUUUUUAAUUGUGAAAUUUUUUAAUUGUGAAGAGUUUUCAAAAACCAUUUCAGAGAAUCUAUGAGAAAAGCUUCAGUGUAUACAAUGAUGCUUAAGACAUAUACACUGUGAAUCUUCUAGAAGCUCACAGUUUAACAAGAAGGCACAUACACUGAAAAUUCUAAUUCGCAGGUGAUAUAUGAUUAGCAUUUCUUAUGAAAUAUCGUAAGAGAGAUGCAAAAACCUGGCAUGAGGACCCACAGGUAGAAGAGAUGAGUGAUAAAAUCAAUUUUAAAAUACUCCUAAUAAAUGCAGCUAAUAUUUAUUGUACCUCUUACUACGUGCUAAACACUGUGCUAAAUUCUUCACACACAUUAUUUCAUUUGAUCCCCACAACAGCCCUAUGAAGUAGAUUCUAUUAUUAUCCCAAUUUUAUAAAUGAGGCAAAAGACAUGAAAAUACUUGGCCAAGGUCAUAAUGCUAGUUACUAGUGAAGCCAGGACUUCUGACAUAGGGAAAACAAUGUCUUACAUUUGUGUAGCACUUGGAUUCUUUUCAAAGCUGCUAAUAUACUACUGUCUGGCUGGCAUUAUCCUCUCAAUAGCUCUGUUAGGUAGCAAGGCAGAUAUCAGUAUUUGGUUUUCAUAAAUACUAAAACUAAAGUUCACAGAGGACACAGAGACUCAUCUGUGGUUGCUCAACUAGUUCAUGGUGUUCAGGAGCACAAAACCACUCCAAUCUGAAAGGCCCAGAGAUAGCACCAUCCCUGGAUGCCUCUGUCUGGGACUUCUGGACUAUGCCCGGCAGCCCCCUGUUCUUUCCAGACCCUGCUUGCAUCUCUAGUUGGGCUCCAGUUCCCAUCUUAAUUCCACCAAUCUCAGUUCACACUGUAUUUGUUUCUUCUUCUUGGUGGCUAUCUGAAACUGUUCUUUAAGCCUGUCCUCACAACCUGUGUGCUCUCUGAGGUCAGGGACCAUGUCCCCUCCUUCCUCAGGUUCUUCAUGCAGGGCUUGGGCCAGGGUUCUGCUUUGAGGGAAUUUCAGAAUAGAGAUGGGCAAGUAGAUUGAAUAUGGAGCAAGAGAAAGAACUCAGCUCUGACCAUCUCCAGCCACUUGAAUUGUGGAAGAAGCCACCUGCCCCUAGAAAUCCUGGCAUCUGGAAGCAAACUUCCAAAAUAUCAGGUCACACCGAGCCUUGAUUUAUUACUCUCUCAUAUUCGGCUCAACUUGGAG